CCUAGUCACAGUUAACGGUUCUAGAAUGGCUUCGAGGGUACGAAGGUCAUAUGGAAGCAUCCCAGUUUCACUCUUCUUGCCCCAUUUCCUUCUUCAUUUUCCUUUCUAACACCACUUGGUUUUUCAUUUCUUUCCCCCUCUUUUCUUUCCGCUCAUUUCUCACGUCCCACAACUUCAUUCUUUUUUUCUCUUUUUCUUCAUUUUGUUUUCUUCUUCUUUUUUUGUGUUUUUUUUAAAAUGAUGAUUCGAUCGAACCCUAUGUAGGUUGCCUACGUAUCAUGUCCCUCAUGAAUAAGAUCAAGCGUAGUUCUGAAAAAGUAAUGGACAAAAUAAAUUAAGAAACAAAAAUCUUUUUGAAUUUUUCAUUUAUAUUUUUUUUGGUCUUUCAAAUACAAAACAGAAAGUACGAUAAUGAAAGACUCGACAAACUCUUAAACCACCUAAGAGACUUAAAAAUAGGCUCAAAAUAUAAAACGUCUCCUCAAGUAACUCCUGAACGCAAUUGUCCUGGGUUUCUGUCAUGCUCGAGUCCUGGUACGUAGAACCACACCUGAAUGAGAAAAAUAGGACCAAAUAGAUUAGAGACUCGAGACACUAUGUGAGACCACACCUCCUAUUGGACACAUGCAAGACAACUAUUUUUGAAAAUUAACCUGCAUGGCAAAGAGUAGCUAUUAAUAAAAACUCAACAAGAUUGGCCUUAUGGACAUGGAAAAUGCCUCACUAAGGCUUUUAUGGAUUCAAACUCCCAAUAUCAUGGCCCAAAAUUAAUUUGUGGAAAUUCCCCAUUUUGCAAAAAUGACCGAUAUGGCCAAAAGUGGCUAAAAAUGCAAACUCAGAAGGACGGACCUUAAGGUAGUGGGACACUUAGUUGCGAACUCAGGAUUCUGAGACAUGAGUCAAUGAACUACUUUUGCAAAAAUGACCCCAUUUUGAAAGAAUGGCCAAUGUGGCCAAAAGUGGCUAAACAUGCAAGAUAUGGCUAAGACCCCGCAAAGCCAAGAACCUAAGACUUACUAGGAAGACCGGACCCUAUGUGGGUUGCCUAUGUAUCACGUCUCGAAAAACGAGAAUCAGGUUCGCGUAGUUCGGGAAGAUUGGACAUGGGAGAAAGCUUAAAAAUGACACUAAUUCGAAAAAAUAUAUUUUUGUCUUUUUGAAAAUGAUGGGAAAUGUAAAAUAUUUUUGGAUUUUCUUUUUCUUUCUUUUUUUGAUUUUUUGGAAAAUGAUGGGAAAGUGUAAAAUCUUUUUUUUUUGGUCUUUUUUUUUUAAAAAAAAAGUUGUGAAAGAAAAAUAUAACUAGCCCUACUUGCUUCAUUUUUCACCCUUCUUUCCCAAGUAUCGGUCCGUCAAAUGACCUUUCUACCCUCAAAGAUGCAACAUGUAUCACAUAGGGAUGAUUGAAUGUUUUUUGGGCCACGGACCCAUUUUGACAAAAUUUGGAUAGGCUUCCUACAAAGGGACACGGUACCUGGGACCGAGCCCUGCUAGGUCUAAAUGACAUGAUGAAAAUAAAAAUGACCUAAAGGCUGACCUAAGUUUGGGGUUCACUAACAAGUCAAUUCGGGGGAGCGUAUGGUCGAUGGUGGCUGCUCAAGCUUUCCACCCACUCCAUACGUCCGGCGGCCCCCCUCCUAAAUUAAGGGUGACUCAACAAAGAGUUCGUGCACGCGACGCGUACUCCGGGACUUGUUGCAGAAAGAAGACUCAUGGUUAUCCAAAUGAUGACAGUUUAUAAAGCAUUAACUCAUUAAGAAAAGCGAUAAACAAGUAACCAACAAAACAAAAAAUAAAACAAACAAACUAAACAAACAAAGCAAAUAAAGAAAACAAACACCUCAACCGAAUAUCCUAAAAGCCAACAAGAUCAAGUAUCAGCUCGAACCUACAACUCCCCAGUAGAGUCGUCAGAGAUGUCACACUCCUUUUUUUAACCAAACUUCACUAACCCCUCUUAAAUAAAUAAAAGGAAUUUAUAAAGCUUGAAAAGGGUUUUUAAUUAAAAAGUGACGAAAUUUUGUGCAAAAGGAAAUUACUCAGAGUCGCCACCUGACAUUGAUUUCGGUGUGUCAGGUCACCGUAUUUUUUGAAAAUAAUUUUUUCUUUUAAAACACUUGGACUCUAAAACCAAGUCCGCGCCAGAGAUUCGGCUAAGGGGGUUCAUUUGACUCAGGGAGAAGGUGUUAGGCAUUCCCCAAGUCCUGUAACUAAUACGGUUGCGUACAUGAUCAAGUUGGCUUUUAGAAUGUUCGAAUUGAGGUAAAACACACAAAAAAAAUAAACAUCCAAAAGGUUCGAGGUCGUCCCUUCCUAAUAAAAGAAAAAUAAAACAAAAUAAAGAAAGUCUUCUUAACUUAUACUACGCCUCCAUUGAUGAUUCCACGACUCCAUUUACAUUUACUUCGCGGCAUUCCCCGAAUGAAUUUAUCUAAGGGACAACCUCUCACCUUACAUUCAAACAUUAUAAGUUAAACUAAACAUCCUGAGGCUUGCCUACCCAAAUGAUGACGGCCUAAGCAUGUUACUAGCGGGGAAGUGAAGAGUUAAUAAUAACUAAAUAGAAUUACUAAACUUUAAAUGUAUUUCCGUUUUCUUUCAAUUUUUAUUUUUUUCAAUUAUACGGCCUUUUAAUUCAAGCUUAACUAAUGAAAUAAUGAUGUAAUAUUUUCUUUUUAAACAAUACUCCACCCACACCCAUUUAUGUAAAACUUGAGCAAUUGAAUACCAAUUUAGUGAUCACAAAAUUAAAUCAAAUUACAGUUCCAUGUGUUCAAACCAACAGAUUCAAAACUAUAAACACUUAAACACGGAAGUAAGGCAAAACACAAGUAAUGGAAGAAGAUUAAAUCUAACUAAAAGUAAAUGAGAUAGUAGAACAGAAAGGAACCUGUUAAGAAAGUGUUCUUUAGUACCCGAAAAUUGAAAUAGCUUUGCCAAAGUGUAAAUCUGAAUGAAGGAGACAACAAUGAGACAAAUCCGAAACCACGAACCAAACUCUAACCGGCAACCCAAAAUCAGCAAACUCUACGAGCAGCAACAAAAUCGGCCAGAACCUCAGUUAGAAUUGAUGGAGUCGAAUGAAAGAUGACGAGCUAACUGGUUUCCGGCGAAGCUCGACUUCGAGCACAUCUUCAAUGUAAGAUUUCAGAGCUGAAAAAAUAGUGACCUUUUUAUGUGAGUUUCAGCUGGUACGUAGGAGAAACAAAUCGAGGGGUCGAUGGUUGUGGGUCGACUGAUUUUCAGUUCCAUUUUGAGAUGAAAAAAGGAUAGUUUUCGAGCUGGUUUUUAGGGGAUUUUCGGGUUAGUUUCCGCUGGUUCCCGUGAAGCUCGCCGGCAAUGGAACCCGGAUGUUUGAGAUCUAGAAACAGUUGGGAUGGGAGUGCUUUUGUGUGCGUUAGCUUCAAGAAAAUGAGACGAGGGGUCGUUCGUGUCAGCCCGGAGAGAGAGGAGGUCAGUUCGCCAGAGUUGAAGGGGUCGCCGACGGCUGGAGAUGGAGGAGUUAGCUGGUCGUGGAUGUGUGUGGAGUGGUCGCCGGCAGGUGAAGGUUGAUUCGGCAGCUGACUGUUCUUUUAGGGUUUUUUGUAUCUUUUUGUCUUGUGUUCAAGAAAAAGAUCUCAUGGGAUUCUUCUUAUGGUUUGUCCUGGAGAAGAAGAUGAAGGUCUGCUCCAUGUUUUGUGUAAUCUGUUGAAGAAGAUGAAGGUCUUCUCCAUGUGAAAUACGGUUGAACCCCUCCCUCUAGGUCUACGGUUUUUGAUUUUUCUUGUAUAUUAUCUUAAAUAGGUGUCUAGGUUUGGGCUUUUGAGUUAAUGGGCUAAGGGGUUGGUUUAAUUGGGCUACAAGCAAGACUAAAUUGGUCCGAAAACUAAUUCUAUUCUCUCCUCCUUUUUGUAUAUAAAAAUAAUAUAGGAAACAAGAUAACUAUUAAAAAUACUACUUAAUCUUACUUAAAAAAUAACUAUUAAAAUAAUACUAACCGUUUAAAAUAAACCUAUUUUUUGGUAUUUUUUUCAAGAUUAAAA
rnacentral:lncRNA from 1 species